rnacentral:tRNA from 1 species
GGUAGCUCAGUGGUAGAGUGCUUGCCUAGCAUGCAUGAGGCCUUGGGUUCGAUUCCUCAGCACCA